rnacentral:rRNA from 1 species
UAACGAAUAUUCCGCAAUGGACGAAAGUCUGACGGAGCAAUGCCGCGUGCAGGAUGAAGCGGUUUCGCCGUGUAAACUGCUGUCAGGGGCAGGAAAAACUGAUCCGCCCCAAAGGAAGAGACGGCUAACCCUGUGCCAGCAGCCGCGGUAAUACAGGGGUCUCGAGCGUUAAUCGGAAUCACUGGGCUUAAAGGGUGCGUAGGCGGAUCCGUAAGCGCUUUGUGAAAUCCCCCGGCUCAACCGGGGAACUGCAGGGCGAACUGCGGAUCUUGAGGAAACUAGAGGCCGGUAGAACGAUUGGUGGAGCGGUGGAAUGCGUAGAUAUCAAUCGGAAUGCCAAAAGUGAAGACAGCCGGCUGGGG